ensembl:piRNA 21ur-10737 ncRNA
UCAAGAGUACGAUCAGUUUUU